rnacentral:lncRNA from 7 species
CAACAUCACUUCUUUUUGUCCUGAAUCUACAUAAAUAUCUAAGACCUCUCAGAUGGAGAAUUCGUCCUUGCUGCACCUUGUCUGCAUCUGACAACGGAGAUCCCAGAGGAGCUGCGUCUUUUGGAAAAUAUCUCUCCCAAAGUCUCAGAAUUCCAAGAGGAAGAUAAAACAGCACGAUCUGUUGGUCAUGAUCAAAUGUGAUCUUUGCCUCGUGGACCAGAGUAACCGGGUUCAAUAGACUUCGGAAAGGAUUAAC